UGGGAGCUUGAGGAGCACUCACAUCAUUGUUGUGCAACCAUUGGUGGUAAGAUUUAAACCCUUGAACCUUAUUUUCAUGGAAAAUUUCAUGAGUAGGGUUUUGUGAAUAGUAAAGUGGGAAUUUUAGAAAUUGUGAGUAAGUUGACUAUGUUCUAGGAAGAUUUAAGCUUAGAGCAUGUUGUGAAAAAUGCUAGGAACGACAUUUAAUCGGUGGAAAUGAGCCUAGAUGGUCAUUUGAUAAUUGUUCAUAAUAUUGGAAAAUUCAUGCUUGGAUUGGUUAGUAUUCUAGCAUGUUGAACAAUUAGUGAGUUGAAUGAUUGAUUGUGUCCUUGUGAUGUCUAGGAUUGAGACAUUUGGACCAACCGUGAGUGAUCAAUCAUUGGAGCAAGCUAUGGAGCUUGAAUAGCUCAUUGGAAUUGGUGUAUAUUUGUAAAAGUGGAUUGCUGAAACUGUUGGUGAAGAACAAAGGUCGACUGAAGCAUUGAGGUAAGGAUGCUGCAGGAGCCUCUGGUGGCAAGUGGCCAUAUCUGGAUUAUGCAUGAAAUGUGGCAUUCCUUUUGAGUUUAUGCAUGCCUUUGUAGUUGACAUGUAUAGGAAUUUAUUUUCAAAGCCUUUGGUCAUUUGUAUAUCUUGAUUCAUUGGAUGAACUUAGCCUAUGCUCAUGCCUUUGGUUACACCUUUUGUUGAUGGGAGCCAAGGGAAUGAUCAUAGUGUUUUGUAAGCUAAGUUCUAUGAUUUGUAAAUGAUAUGUAAUGUAAAUGAUGCCUACUUGAAAUUCAAUAUAUGCAUGCUUGUUAUGUAUUGAGUUGUUGAAUUGGUUGGGCUGAAAAUCAAUUAGGUACCCUUUGUUUAAAUUGGUAAACGAUGAGAAAACAAAGGUCAUGCUGCCCAAAUUCUAGCUAAAUCUCAUGAGGAGAGGUUGGAUGUGUGCUAGGAUUUAGUUUUGGGGCAUGGACAAUUGGGGUUUGGAAUGGGGAUGCAUCUUCCCCUAGGCUUGGACUUGAAAAAUGUGGGAAUUGGAAUUCCCUGGCAGCGCGCUUAAGCGCCCAGGAGCGCGCCCAAGCGCCCUGCUGCCCCUCCGUGUGCCAAUGCAUUCUGCCUCCUCGCGCUGGAGCGCCCAA